ACGGAGGAUGCGAGCGUUAUCCGGAUUUAUUUUUUUUAACUUUUUCUUCUCCGGAAAAAUAAUUCAUUUAUUAAAACCUUCAGCUUAACUGGAGACUUGCCAUUGAUACUGUUAUUCUUGAGUAUAGUUAAGGUAGGCGGAAUGUGUAAUGUAGCGGUGAAAUGCUUAGAUAUUACCCUUCUCCCAAUUUUAUGGUGGAGGUUAUUUUUUUUUGGCUGACGCUGAUGCACGAAAGCGUGGGGAGCGAACAG
rnacentral:rRNA from 1 species